UGCUUGUGUGAAAAGAGUUGCAGAAUUGAAGAAAGGGUUUCAUAAUGCAAAAGCUGCUUCCUAAUGGGAAAAUCAGAGUUAGAGCUUGGAGCAGACAUUGAAAUAUUUACAGGUCAUAAAGAUUAGAGAAAUUGUUGGCUUGAAGUUAAAAAGGAGAAGAAAAAAACUAGAUUUUGUGGU